CAAAAACACAAGCUCUCCCUAUUCUAUUGCCGCACACUCUCACGACACAACUUGGGCGCACAUAUACAUUCGACUGGAGGUAAAAGUCGCUCUCCUACUUAGGGAUAAAACUCACUAAAACAAUACGCACACUACAAAAAGAAAACUCACAACACAACUAUCAUCAUGGGAAGACCUAGAGGUCUCCUGGAUAGGCCGCAUCAACUCAAUUAAGAUGAUGAUUCUCCCGCACAUAUUGUACCUGUUUAGAACCAUCCCUAUAGAACUGCCAUCCCGCCUCAUUAAAAGGCUCCAAUCUGUUAUAAACGCACAUGUCUGCAAAUGGAAACCCCCGCGAAUAAAGAAUAAAACCCUAGGCCUCCACUAUAACCGAGGAGGACUAGGCCUCCCAGAUGUCAGGUUCUAUUACC